AGGCGUAGUCGAUGGGAAACGGGUUAAUAUUCCCGUACUUGGUGUUACUGCGAAGGGGGGACGGAGAAGGCUAUGUUGGCCGGGCGACGGUAGUCCCGGUUUAAGCGUGUAGGUGUGUGUUCCAGGCAAAUCCGGUUCACUUUAACACUGAGGCGUGACGACGAGGCACCACGGUGCUGAAGCAACAAAUGCCCUGCUUCCAGGAAAAGCCUCUAAGCAUCAGGUAACAUCAAAUCGUACCCCAAACCGACACAGGUGGUCAGGUAGAGAAUACCAAGGCGCUUGAGAGAACUCGGGUGAAGGAACUAGGCAAAAUGGUGCCGUAACUUCGGGAGAAGGCACGCUGACACGUAGGUGAAGUGAUUUACUCAUGGAGCUGAAGUCAGUCGAAGAUACCAGCUGGCUGCAACUGUUUAUUAAAAACACAGCACUGUGCAAACACGAAAGUGGACGUAUACGGUGUGACGCCUGCCCGGUGCCGGAAGGUUAAUUGAUGGGGUCAGCGCAAGCGAAGCUCCUGAUCGAAGCCCCGGUAAACGGCGGCCGUAACUAUAACGGUCCUAAGGUAGCGAAAUUCCUUGUCGGGUAAGUUCCGACCUGCACGAAUGGCGUAAUGAUGGCCAGGCUGUCUCCACCCGAGACUCAGUGAAAUUGAACUCGCUGUGAAGAUGCAGUGUACCCGCGGCAAGACGGAAAGACCCCGUGAACCUUUACUAUAGCUUGACACUGAACAUUGAGCCUUGAUGUGUAGGAUAGGUGGGAGGCUUUGAAGCGUGGACGCCAGUCUGCGUGGAGCCGACCUUGAAAUACCACCCUUUAAUGUUUGAUGUUCUAACGUGGACCCGUAAUCCGGGUUGCGGACAGUGUCUGGUGGGUAGUUUGACUGGGGCGGUCUCCUCCUAAAGAGUAACGGAGGAGCACGAAGGUUGGCUAAUCCUGGUCGGACAUCAGGAGGUUAGUGCAAUGGCAUAAGCCAGCUUGACUGCGAGCGUGACGGCGCGAGCAGGUGCGAAAGCAGGUCAUAGUGAUCCGGUGGUUCUGAAUGGAAGGGCCAUCGCUCAACGGAUAAAAGGUACUCCGGGGAUAACAGGCUGAUACCGCCCAAGAGUUCAUAUCGACGGCGGUGUUUGGCACCUCGAUGUCGGCUCAUCACAUCCUGGGGCUGAAGUAGGUCCCAAGGGUAUGGCUGUUCGCCAUUUAAAGUGGUACGCGAGCUGGGUUUAGAACGUCGUGAGACAGUUCGGUCCCUAUCUGCCGUGGGCGCUGGAAGACUGAGGGGGGCUGCUCCUAGUACGAGAGGACCGGAGUGGACGCAUCACUGGUGUUCGGGUUGUCAUGCCAAUGGCACUGCCCGGUAGCUAAAUGCGGAAAAGAUAAGUGCUGAAAGCAUCUAAGCACGAAACUUGCCC
rnacentral:rRNA from 1 species